AGAGUUUGAUCCUGGCUCAGAACGAACGCUGGCGGCGUGCCUAACACAUGCAAGUCGAGCGCGAAAGUCCCUUCGGGGGCGAGUAGAGCGGCGGACGGGUGAGUAAUACAUGGAUAAUCUCCCUUCGAGCUCGGGAUAACACUGCGAAAGCGGUGCUAAUACCGGAUAAGACCACGUCACCCAGGUGAUGCGGUAAAAGAUGGCUUUGUUUUCGGAUGAGGCUAUCAGUUGAGGAUGAGUCCAUGGCCUAUCAGCUUGUUGGUGAGGUAAAGGCUCACCAAGGCGAUGACGGGUAGCUGGUCUGAGAGGACGACCAGCCACACUGGGACUGAGACACGGCCCAGACUCCUACGGGAGGCAGCAGUGGGGAAUAUUGGGCAAUGGGCGAAAGCCUGACCCAGCGACGCCGUGUGGGCGAUGAAGGCCUUCGGGUUGUAAAGCCCUGUUGGGUGGAAAGAAGGGCUCUAGGACGAAUAAUCCCUGAGUCUUGACGGUACCACCAGAGGAAGCACCGGCUAACUCCGUGCCAGCAGCCGCGGUAAUACGGAGGGUGCAAGCGUUGUUCGGAAUUACUGGGCGUAAAGGGCGCGUAGGUGGUUGUGUAAGUCAGAUGUGAAAUCCCGAGGCUCAACCUCGGAACUGCAUCUGAUACUGCAUGACUAGAGUGCAGCAGAGGGAAACGGAAUUCCCAGUGUAGAGGUGAAAUUCGUAGAUAUUGGGAGGAACACCGGUGGCGAAGGCGGUUUCCUGGGCUGACACUGACACUGAGGCGCGAAAGCGUGGGUAGCAAACAGGAUUAGAUACCCUGGUAGUCCACGCUGUAAACGGUGAAUG
rnacentral:rRNA from 1 species